rnacentral:misc_RNA from 1 species
ACAACCUGCAGGGGAAGCACAUAAUAUAUAUAUAAUAGAGUAAGUUCCAUCCGUGCCUGCUUACACCAGAUGCUAGUACUUAAAUGUAAAUCUCGAGGCACUAUAGCAGGGGAGCUGGUACCUAUGGAGCUACAGAUACUGGCAAGGUGGCAAGUACCUGGGUAGGUACUUGAGUACUAGUAGGUACCUGUGAACUCAAAGGGGAGUCUAAUGCCAUCUCUACCAAUACAAAUA